rnacentral:rRNA from 1 species
AUGGCAAACCUAAUGGCGCCUACGGCCACCAUGAGCAUCAUUCUGGAGCUCCGCAAGUACCUCAUGCUCAUGGCCAUCCUGGCGGCCACGGUGACCUACGUCGCCGGGCUCAACCCACCGGGCGGCGUCUGGCUGCGCACCGAGGACGGCCACCUCACCGGCGACCAGGUCCUCGUGAUCACGGACCCCCGCCGCUACAACGCCUUCUAUUACAGCAACGCCACCGCCUUCAUUGCCUCCGUCGUGGUCAUCCUCCUCCUGCUCCUCAUGGAGCGGAGCAUGGGCAAGGGCAGCAAAAGGCUCCUCGUCGUCCGGCUCCUCACCGCGCUCAGGGUGGUCAUGGUGCUCGACUUCUUCGCGGUCCUGGUAGCGUACGCCGCCGGGGCCAGACGGGGGACGGCGACCACCGUCGUCGCAGCCGUGCUGGUCUCAGCGGUUUCCGUCUACAUCACAGGCUACGCCGCGUACCGUGCGCUCUUCAGGCCUAGGCCACCGGACCCCGGGGCCGAAGACCACCACGGCCCAUCGCUCAACCUCAAGCUCGAGCGGCGGCGCAAGAUCCUGAUGCUCUUCUCCAUCUUCGCCGCCACCGUCACCUACACGGCGGGGCUGAGUCCGCCGGGCGGCUUCUGGCCCGACAGCCGGGAAGGCCACCGCCCAGGCAGCCCGGUUAUAGAGGACCAACACCACUCGCGGCGCUUCAUGUUGCACAAUAAGCUAGGUUAG